rnacentral:rRNA from 1 species
AUUGAACGCUUGCGGCAGGCCUAACACAUGCAAGUCGAGCGAGCGGCGGACGGGUGAGUAAUGUAUGGGGACUGCCCGAUAGAGGGGGAUAACUCCUGGAAACGGUAGCUAAUCCCGCAUACUAUCGGAUAACCCAUAUGGGAUUAGCUAGUAGGUUCGGUAAUGGCUCAACUAGGCGACGAUCCCUAGCUGGUCUGAGAGGAUGAUCAGCCACACGGGGAAUGAGACACGGCCCAGAUUCCUACGGAGGCAGCAUGGGGUAAUAUUUCACAAGGGGCGCAAGCCUGAUGCAGCCAUGCCGCGUGUAUGAAUAAGGCCCUAGGGUUGUAAAGUACUUUCAGUGGGGAGGCGUUACCUACAGAAGAAGCACCGGCUAACUCCGUGCCAGCAGCCGCGGUAAUAC